UGAACGCUGGCGGCGUGCUUAACACAUGCAAGUCGUACGAGAAAUCUCCUGCUUGCAGGAGAGAGUAAAGUGGCGCACGGGUGAGUAACACGUGGAUAAUCUACCUUUGAAUCUGGGAUAACGUCGCGAAAGCGAUGCUAAUACCGGAUAAUAUCUGUAGGGCUUCGGUCUAGCAGAUCAAAGAGGGCCUCUACAUGUAAGCUUUCGUUUGAAGAUGAGUCCGCGGACCAUUAGCUUGUUGGUAGGGUAAAGGCCUACCAAGGCAUCGAUGGUUAGCUGGUCUGAGAGGAUGAUCAGCCACACUGGAACUGACACACGGUCCAGACUCCUACGGGAGGCAGCAGUGAGGAAUCUUGCGCAAUGGGGGAAACCCUGACGCAGCAACGCCGCGUGAGUGAAGGAGGCUUUCGGGUCGUAAAGCUCUGUCAAGUGGGAAGAAAAUGCAACGUGUUAAUACCACGUAGCACUGACGGUACCACUGAAGGAAGCACCGGCUAACUCC
rnacentral:rRNA from 1 species